rnacentral:rRNA from 14 species
AGCGUUGUUCGGAAUUACUGGGCGUAAAGCGCACGUAGGCGGAUCAGAAAGUUGGGGGUGAAAUCCCGGGGCUCAACCCCGGAACUGCCUCCAAAACUCCUGGUCUUGAGUUCGAGAGAGGUGAGUGGAAUUCCGAGUGUAGAGGUGAAAUUCGUAGAUAUUCGGAGGAACACCAGUGGCGAAGGCGGCUCACUGGCUCGAUACUGACGCUGAGGUGCGAAAGUGUGGGGAGCAAACAGGAUUAGAUACCCUGGUAGUCCACGCUGUAAACGAUGUCUACUAGCCGUCGGGGUCCUUAGUGACUUUGGUGGCGCAGCUAACGCGAUAAGUAGACCGCCUGGGGAGUACGGCCGCAAGGUUAAAACUCAAAUGAAUUGACGGGGGCCCGCACAAGCGGUGGAGCAUGUGGUUUAAUUCGAUGCAACGCGAAGAACCUUACCAGGUCUUGACAUCCUCGGAAUUUGGCAGAGAUGCCUUAGUGCCUUCGGGAGCCGAGUGACAGGUGCUGCAUGGCCGUCGUCAGCUCGUGUCGUGAGAUGUUGGGUUAAGUCC